ACUUCUGAACCUCAAGCUGGCUCUGGACAUGGAGAUCGCCACCUAUCGGGAGCUUCUGAAGAACGAGGAGGAGAGCUUAGAGAACUCCACCAUAGAUGUCUCAAGACAAACCAACCAAAUCCGAGUCAUUAGUUAUACAGAAACAUCUAUUGACGUCACCAUGACUGGUGUGAAGGCAGCAUUGGAUACCACCUUCUAGAAG